rnacentral:rRNA from 1 species
CCUACGGGCGGCAGCAGUGAGGAAUAUUGGUCAAUGGGCGCGAGCCUGAACCAGCCAAGUAGCGUGAAGGAUGACUGCCCUACGGGUUGUAAACUUCUUUUAUAAAGGAAUAAAGUGAGGCACGUGUGCCUUUUUGUAUGUACUUUAUGAGUAAGGAUCGGCUAACUCCGUGCCAGCAGCCGCGGUAAUACGGAGGAUCCCAGCGUUAUCCGGGUUUUUUGGGUUUAAAGGGAGCGUAGAUGGGUUGUUAAGUCAGUUGUGAAAGUUUGCGGCUCAACCGUAAAAUUGCAAUUGAGACUGGCGGCCUUGAGUACAGUUGGGGUAGGCGGAAUUCGUGGUGUAGCGGUGAAAUGCUUAGAUAUCACGAAGAACUCCGAUUGCGAAGGCAGCUUACUAAGCUGCAACUGACAUUGAUGCUCGAAAGUGUGGGUAUCAAACAGGAUUAGAUACCCUAGUAGUC